AGUAUAGAUUGAAAAGUCUGUCUCCCUAUGAGAGAAGGGGCACCCCCAGGAGCCCCACCACCUCUAAGCCAAGACCUAUGUAGGUUGUAAAAUCUUUUCUGUAUUGAUAUCUUUACAUUUCCUGGAGUCUAUUUUUAGUCUCCUCUAAGUUUUCCAACAGAGUUCCUGUUGAGCAAUUUUGGCUCUCAUUUGGCUGAACUAAGGGGUGAAGGAAAGUGUCCUUCGGUAGGCCAUCGCUGCUGGGGAAAACAGCCUCACCCUGGAGGCCAGUAAGGGAUUGGGAGACAAAACAGUUGGGAAACCUAAGAAGUUGGUAGUGGGGCUGGGAAGGUGAAGGAGUUGAAACCGAAGGGAAGGAUCUAGCUGGAGGUGAGUCACCACCCUGGUCCUUUGCACAGGCCAUCACGGCACUGGAACUGAGGCGGACGUGUUUAGCUGAGGCUGUCGAGAGAAGACCUAAGGGAAUCGUAACGUGGGGAUUGUGGACAAUGGAGUGUUCAUGAGAACCAGAGUAAUUUUGGACAAGGCCAGACAGAAAGCGCAGGGCAUUAGGGGUGGGGAAAAGAAAAUCCUUUUUCUGGGAGAGGUUAUUGCUUGUUUAUUGAAGCGACAGGGCAAAUGUCAAGUGGGCAGAUUCAAUUAUAUAAAAAUUUGAAAUGUAUACACAGCAAAGAAUGAUGAGGAUUUAAAAAACCAGUAAGAUGAGAAAAACACGGAGUAGAGCUGAGCUUCCAUAGAUGUAGCGAUCAAGAUAUCUCACUUGGUCAGAGGCCCAGACAGGCUGUGCACCCAGGAGGAGAUGCUCACAGGCCAGGACGACUAAGCAAAAAGAUUUUAACAAGUCAGCCACUUUCAUGUGUCAAAAAUGCAUUUUUAAAAUAUGUCGUGGAAAAAUAGACUACUGGCACUGUAAAAUGCUGCUUCCUGGAGAGAAAUUUGGAAAUACU